UCUUUCACUUGCCCACGUUGCUUCUUUGUUUCCUGCCACUGUCUUUACUCAAACUGUACCAUCAUUUUCUUAAGCUUGUUCCAUUCAUAUUCUCCGUUCAACUAAUUUGCAUCAUUUUCUAGUAACUAGAUCUGAAUUAUCAUUCUUUCUAGCCCUUGAUGUUAUUAGAUUCUUACGUGCUCUGUGUCAGCCAUAAAUGUGCAAGUGGGGUUUUGAAUGCUCUGAUUAUUUUGAAAACGAAUUUGCAUCCACUAUCCUUUAUCUUAUUUUAUGGCAUAGUCUUUUGUCUUACAACCGCUUACUUUUUUUCGGUGGAAUUCAAACUGGAGAUCCACCUACAUGAUCAAUAACCAUCGGAGGUAAAAGUCCAAAGAAAUGUACUGGUCCUCCUUUCCAAGGGAUUUAUGAUAGUAACAGACCCAUCCUAGGCCGGCUUCACACAAGGUUGAAGAAGAAGAAUCAAUGAAAUAAAUGGCAGAAUUAUUUGGCCCACCUACUGUUGUUAUCUUUGAUUUCUAUUGGCUAGUAUCUUUAUUUACAUCAACCAAUGCCAAAUUCUUCCUUCUAAUGAAAUGAUGAUCACUGAAACGUCGUCGUGGUACUUCCGCCGCUCCCCUUGUGGGAUAUCAAGCAGCUCAUGGAAGGCCAUUCCUGCAUGUUUUCCAAAUCACAUCAGGAAAGAAGCAAUGAAGGACUCUACUUGAGCAACAGCUUCUUCAUUUGUAAAGUAUUGAUAGAGUCCAUCAGACGACAAUAUCAAGAAUCUGUCAGUUGGGCUGAGUUUAUAAUGGCACAGAGUUGGAUCACAGGUGAUGUAAGACUACAAGGUUUGGAAAUUUGGAAAGACCUGUUUCAGAAAGCCAGCACCAAACGCCCGUGUGAUUUUCAAAUAACCUUUCACCCUGUCAUUCAUAAUUGCUGAAGGGUCGUCAGAAUGAGCAUUCUUGAUCCUCUGAACUUCCUGAUGAUAUUCAAGUUCUCUCAUAAAUGCAUGUAAUCUAAAUGCAGUGCUUAGUGGAAGAUGAGUGAUAUUGACAAGAACAUUACCUCCUCUGUGUACGUGCUGUGGUCCAUCGUAAGCUGAUGGGAAGCUAAGGCUGUUAAUCUUUCAGGGGAUUCUAAUACCCGUAGUGUUCCUUCAUUGAUUCUCUCCAAGUCUCUGUAUGGUUCGAGUUGCUGCGCUACAAUUGCACGGCUGUCUCCUACAUUCAUCAGCUGUCUCGUCCUAUUUUCUGCCGAAAAGUUCACUGUAGGUUGAUGAACAUUAGCCUGAGUUUUUAUGUGGGUUGUUCCAUGAUCGUC